UACAAAGGAUUUUUCUGGAGAGGAUGGAGAUUGUCUCUUGAGUGCAAAGGCAAAGGAGGACUUCACUGCACGACUCAAUUGUUGAGCAUGAACGAAAAUCGACUUUAAU
rnacentral:rRNA from 1 species